rnacentral:rRNA from 1 species
KCUUAACACAUGCAAGUCGAGGGGCAUCACGGGGUAGCAAUACUCUUGGUGGCGACCGGCGCACGGGUGAGUAACACGUAUGCAACCUACCUCGUACAGGGGGAUAACCCGGAGAAAUUCGGACUAAUAUCCCAUAAUGAUAUUGAAAGGCAUCUUUUAAUAUUUAAAGCUCAGGCGGUACGGGAUGGGCAUGCGGAACAUUAGCUGGUUGGUAGGGUAACGGCCUACCAAGGCUACGAUGUUUAGGGGACCUGAGAGGGUUAUCCCCCACACUGGUACUGAGACACGGACCAGACUCCUACGGGAGGCAGCAGUGAGGAAUAUUGGUCAAUGGGCGCAAGCCUGAACCAGCCAUCCCGCGUGAAGGAAGAAAGGCGCUACGCGUUGUAAACUUCUUUUCCAGGGGGAGAAUUUUCCGGUCGUGACCGGGAUUGACGGUACUCUGGGAAUAAGCAUCGGCUAACUCCGUGCCAGCAGCCGCGGUAAUACA